AGAUUGAACUGAAGAGUUUGAUCAUGGCUCAGAUUGAACGCUGGCGGCAGGCUUAACACAUGCAAGUCGAGCGGUAACAGAGAUAGCUUGCUAUCUGCUGACGAGCGGCGGACGGGUGAGUAACGCGUAGAAAACUGCCCAGUAGUGGGGGAUAGCCCAGAGAAAUUUGGAUUAAUACCGCAUACGCCCUACGGGGGAAAGGGGGCUUCGGCUCUCGCUAUUGGAUGUGUCUGCGUGGGAUUAGCUAGUUGGUGAGGUAAGGGCUCACCAAGGCGACGAUCCCUAGCUGGUCUGAGAGGAUGAUCAGCCACACUGGAACUGAGACACGGUCCAGACUCCUACGGGAGGCAGCAGUGGGGAAUAUUGCACAAUGGGCGCAAGCCUGAUGCAGCCAUGCCGCGUGUGUGAAGAAGGCUUUCGGGUUGU
rnacentral:rRNA from 1 species